GAUGAACGCUGGCGGCGUGCCUAAUACAUGCAAGUCGAGCGAACAGACGAGGAGCUUGCUCCUCUGACGUUAGCGGCGGACGGGUGAGUAACACGUGGAUAACCUACCUAUAAGACUGGGAUAACUUCGGGAAACCGGAGCUAAUACCGGAUAAUAUAUUGAACCGCAUGGUUCAAUAGUGAAAGACGGUUUUGCUGUCACUUAUAGAUGGAUCCGCGCCGCAUUAGCUAGUUGGUAAGGUAACGGCUUACCAAGGCAACGAUGCGUAGCCGACCUGAGAGGGUGAUCGGCCACACUGGAACUGAGACACGGUCCAGACUCCUACGGGAGGCAGCAGUAGGGAAUCUUCCGCAAAGGGCGAAAGCCUGACGGAGCAACGCCGCGUGAGUGAUGAAGGUCUUCGGAUCGUAAAACUCUGUUAUUAGGGAAGAACAAAUGUGUAAGUAACUAUGCACGUCUUGACGGUACCUAAUCAGAAAGCCACGGCUAACUACAUG
rnacentral:rRNA from 1 species